rnacentral:rRNA from 1 species
AAUGAACGCUGGCGGCAGGCCUAACACAUGCAAGUCGAGCGGAUGAAGGGAGCUUGCUCCUGGAUUCAGCGGCGGACGGGUGAGUAAUGCCUAGGAAUCUGCCUGGCAGUGGGGGAUAACGUCCGGAAACGGGCGCGAAUACCGCAUACGACCAGAGGGUGAAAGUGGGGGAUCUUCGGACAUCACGCUAUCUGAUGAGCCUAGGUCGGAUUAGCUAGUUGGUGGGGUAAAGGCCUACCAAGGCGACGAUCCGUAACUGGUCUGAGAGGAUGAUCAGUCACACUGGAACUGAGACACGGUCCAGACUCCUACGGGAGGCAGCAGUGGGGAAUAUUGGGCAAUGGGCGAAAGCCUGAUCCAGCCAUGCCGCGUGUGUGAAGAAGGUCUUCGGAUUGUAAAGCACUUUUAGUUGGGAUGAAGGGCUGUAAGUUAAUACCUUGCUGUUUUGACGGUACCAACAGAAUAAGCACCGGCUAACUACGUG